rnacentral:rRNA from 1 species
GAUGAACGCUAGCGGGAGGCUUAACACAUGCAAGUCGAGGGGCAGCACGUUCCGUCGCAAGACGGGAUGGUGGCGACCGGCGCACGGGUGAGUAACGCGUAUGCAACCUACCCUGUACUGGGGGAUAACCCGGAGAAAUUCGGACUAAUACCCCAUAAAGAUAUUUUAAGGCAUCUUUUAAUAUUUAAAGUUACGACGGUACGGGAUGGGCAUGCGUAACAUUAGCUAGUUGGCAGGGUAACGGCCUACCAAGGCUUCGAUGUUUAGGGGACCUGAGAGGGUGAUCCCCCACACUGGUACUGAGACACGGACCAGACUCCUACGGGUGGCUG